rnacentral:rRNA from 1 species
GCUCAAAUUUGAAAUCUGGCCCUAGCGGUCCGAGUUGUAAUUUGCAGAGGAUGCUUUUGGUGCGGUGCCUUCCGAGUUCCCUGGAACGGGACGCCAUAGAGGGUGAGAGCCCCGUACGGUUGGAUACCUAGCCUCUAUAUAGCUCCUUCGACGAGUCGAGUAGUUUGGGAAUGCUGCUCUAAAUGGGAGGUAAAUUUCUUCUAAAGCUAAAUACCGGCCAGAGACCGAUAGCGCACAAGUAGAGUGAUCGAAAGAUGAAAAGCACUUUGAAAAGAGGGUUAAAUAGCACGUGAAAUUGUUGAAAGGGAAGCGUUUGCGACCAGACCUUCUCCAGGGGGAUCAACCGCUGUUCUCAGCGGUGCACUCCCCCUGGUUUAGGCCAGCAUCGGUUCUCUUAGGGGGAUAAAGGCCUGGGGAACGUAGCUCUUUAGGGAGUGUUAUAGCCCCUAGCGUAAUACCCUUCAGGGGACCGAGGACCGCGCUUCGGCAAGGAUGCUGGCGUAAUGGUCGUCAACGACCCGUCUUGAAACACGGACCAAGGAGUCGAACAUUUGUGCGAGUGUUUGGGUGUUAAACCCUCACGCGUAAUGAAAGUGAACGGAGGUGAGAGCCUUAGGGUGCAUCAUCGACCGAUCCUGAUGUCUUCGGAUGGAUUUGAGUAAGAGCAUAACUGUUCGGACCCGAAAGAUGGUGAACUAUGCGUGGAUAGGGUGAAGCCAGAGGAAACUCUGGUGGAGGCUCGCAGCGGUUCUGACGUGCAAAUCGAUCGUCAAAUCUGCGCAUGGGGGCGAAAGACUUAUCGAACCAUCUAGUAGCUGGUUACCGCCGAAGUUUCCCUCAGGAUAGCAGUGUUGUCUUCAGUUUUAUGAGGUAAAGCGAAUGAUUAGGGACUCGGGGGCGCUAUAUUGCCUUCAUCCAUUCUCAAACUUUAAAUAUGUAAGAAGCCCUUGUUACUUAGUUGAACGUGGGCAUUCGAAUGUACCAACACUAGUGGGCCAUUUUUGGUAAGCAGAACUGGCGAUGCGGGAUGAACCGAACGCGGGGUUAAGGUGCCAGAGUGGACGCUCAUCAGACACCACAAAAGGUGUUAGUACAUCUUGACAGCAGGACGGUGGCCAUGGAAGUCGGAAUCCGCUAAGGACUGUGUAACAACUCACCUGCCGAAUGUACUAGCCCUGAAAAUGGAUGGCGCUCAAGCGUCUCACCCAUACCUCGCCCUUAGGGUAGAAACGAUGCCCUAAGGAGUAGGCGGCCGUGGAGGUUAG